ACUGAGAGUAUCAGUAUGGGCCUA
rnacentral:siRNA from 1 species